rnacentral:rRNA from 1 species
UACAGAGACUGCAAGCGUUAUUCGGAUUCACUGGGCGUAAAGGGUGCGCAGGCGGCCGUGUGUGUCAGAUGUGAAAGCCCGGGGCUUAACCCCGGAACUGCGUCUGAAACUACACGGCUAGAGCAUUGGAGAGGGAAGUGGAAUUCAUGGUGUAGCAGUGAAAUGCGUAGAUAUCGAGAGGAACACUCGUGGCGAAAGCGAGCUACUGGACAUUUACUGACGCUGAGGCUCGAAGGCUAGGGGAGCGAAAGGG